rnacentral:rRNA from 1 species
AUUGAACGCUGGCGGCAGGCCUAACACAUGCAAGUCGAACGAGUGGCGGACGGGUGAGUAAUGUCUGGGAACCUGCCUGAUGGAGGGGGAUAACUACUGGAAACGGUAGCUAAUACCGCAUACCAUCGGAUGUGCCCAGAUGGGAUUAGCUAGUAGGUGGGUGAAAGGCUCACCUAGGCGACGAUCCCUAGCUGGUCUGAGAGGAUGACUAGCCACACUGGAACUGAGACAGGGUCGAGAAUCCAAAGGGAGGCAGCAGUGGGGAAGAUGGCACAAGGGUCGCAAGCCGGAUGCAGCCAAGCCGCGUGUAUGAAGAAGGCCUUCGGGUUUUAAAGUACUUUCAGCGGGGAGGCGUUACCCGCAGAAGAAGCACCGGCUAACUCCGUGCCAGCCGCCGCGGUAAUUC